UACGUAGGGGGCAAGCGUUAUCCGGAAUCAUUGGGCGUAAAGCGCGUGUAGGCGGUUCCGUAAGUCCGCUCUGAAAGCCCAGGGCUCAACCCUGGGAGGCGGGUGGAUACUACGGAACUGGAGUACGGAAGAGGAGAUUGGAAUUCCUGGUGUAGCGGUGAAAUGCGCAGAUAUCAGGAGGAACACCAACAGCGAAGGCAGAUCUCUGGGACGUUACUGACGCUGAGAACGCGAAAGUGUGGGGAGCAA
rnacentral:rRNA from 1 species